rnacentral:tRNA from 1 species
GUUUUAGUAAUUUAAAAUUAAAAUUUUGGUCUUGUAAACCAAUCAUAAUCUAGCGAUUCUAAAUCU